rnacentral:lncRNA from 1 species
AACAUAGUCCCCUAUGAAAAAGUGAUAAUUUUUUUAAGAAGCACCACACAUUUUCUAAGCAUUGUUUAUAGACAUAAUAAUGCUUUUCCCAUGUGUUACAGCACUGUACAAUGGAAUGUACAAAAUAGUUGGACGGAUGAUAGCUGUGUGCCUGAUACAUGGUGGUGUGGAGCCAAAUUUUUUUUCAGAAAGACUGUUCUGUCAGGUGUGCAACCUUCAGCCCCCAGUACCAGACCUUCAAGAGAUUGCUGACUAUGACUUCAGAGCAAAGAUGACCAAGAUCCAGUUGGCACAGAAUGUAAAUGAAGCACAGUGUGCUAUAAUGGAGGCGUCUGACCAAUUAAGUAUGCUGGGGUCUCUAUGGCACAUCCAGACGCUAGAAGACAGAGACAACUUAGUGGAAUCAGCUACCAAGUUUUUCAUCGAGAACAGGUUGAGGGAUUCCUUGGAACAGUGAGUAUAAGAAUGUACAGAUAUUUUCACCUGACAAAUUACCAGUACUAUUUUGUCAUUGUUUCACAUUUGGUACAUGUUUGGAUACUUUAUUUCAAUGCACUAAAAAUGAAUUUGAGUAUUAGUGCUACUUAAUAUACUUUUUCAAGUGCAAGUAGAAAUACACCUUUAAUUAGUGUCUAUAUAAAAUAUAAUCUUAUUUAGCACAAAAAAAUGAAUUUACUACAAAAGUACUUGCUUGUUUUUAAGUAUUUUUAGUACAUUCAACUAUACUUUAUUGUUAUCUGGGAUGAGGAUACUUAUAUGGGUUUGGAAGAACAUGAAGUACAAUAAACUGUGACAACUACUUUACUGGUAUUCUGUAUCUGCAAAAUGGUCAUUAACUUUUUUUUUUCCUGUUCAUUUUUACUAGAAGGAACUGCAUAUCCCCUCACCUUAGACAAGAUUCUUGGAUUUGUGUCAGGAUCUACUGCUAUUCCGAGGCUAGGGUUCCCAGUGGAACCCAAAUUGGAGUUCUUACACCCUCAAGAGAAUGAGGCCCCUAAAAUUUUUCCAGAGGCAAAUACCUGCAGCAUUGUCUUGAGGCUACCAAUCCAUCCCAGCUAUGAACUCUUCAGAGAAAACAUGGAAAGUGGUAUUUUGCAAUCCCCCACUUUUGGAGUGAUGUAGAAAAAUUGUGUUGGCUGUUACUGAUGUAAUAGUUUUAAAUAUUUUCAUGUUUUAAAGUUUUAUUAUGAAACAUGAAGAGCUAAAUUNNNNNNNNNNNNNNNNNNNNNNNNNNNNNNNNNNNNNNNNNNNNNNNNNNNNNNNNNNNNNNNNNNNNNNNNNNNNNNNNNNNNNNNNNNNNNNNNNNNNUGGCACACCACUGCUCUAAGAGUAGAAAAAUAUUUAUAUUCUCACCAAAAGUGACAUUUCAAGCCUACAAGCUCUUCAUCAGACAAUGAUCACAUACAUCAAACUAGAGUGACAUGAUCACCCACAUGACCCCCCGCCCCCCAAACCGAAUGGCAAUCAGAUAAAGGCAAUAAACAUAAAAGUGAAAACAACCAUUAACUACAAAUGCUGAACCUCAACAUAUUAAAAAAAAAAAUAACUUGCAAAAUAUACAUAAAAGAACAAUACUUUAUCUCUCACAAAAAUCAUUAAAUAAAAUGCCUGAUGUUAAGAAAACAAUCAACAUCAAGAUAGAAUCAAAUGUAAAUUUGAUUCUAUAAUUUAUGUAUACUUUACAGCUAUUUUUUUAUAUAGGCUUAGGUUCAGAAUUUGUAGUUAGUGGUUGUAUUCACUUUUAGGUUUGUUUAUUGCCUUUAUGUGAGGUGAUUUCCUGAUUGCCCUUUUUUGGAUCAUGUGGGUGAUCAUGUCAUUCAGGUUUGUGCUAUAUAUAAAACCUGAACUAUGUAUGUGUUCAUUGUCUAAUGAAGAGCUUGUAGGCUCGGAAUGUCACCUUUGAUGAGAACAUAAUACUUUUGGAGCUGUGGUGUGCCAAAUUUCUUCUUAGUUUUAGGUAUUUACGUGGUUGAGCACUCACAUUAAGCCCUUCAGCCUGUUGGAUGUGUGCACUUCGAUUAUCUAAAGUUAUACAAUGGACAUUUCAUCAUACAGUUCUACUACAGCUUUUUGAUGUUUGUAGGGGUUGCUAAGUUUUGUCCCUUUCUCCAGUUCUGCUCUGUCUUGGGAUAUCUGAUAAGAAUCCACAUCUGAAAGUAUUCAGAUUAUACUACAAAUUAAUGAAUUUACAUCACAUUACAAUAAAAGUUGUUUAUUAAUGUGAUUUAGUGUUUUUUUUUUUUUUAUUUCUUCUAAAUUUACAUCACAAUUACAAUAAAAAGUUGUUUAUUAAUGUGAGUUAGUAGUUUUUUUUUUUUUUUUUAUCUCAGGGAUAUGACUAGCCCUUACAUAAACUAUAAAUGAGUCAGGAAAGUAGAGGGGAGAUACCGAUCAGAAUAUGACACAUGCCAUGUAAAACACUUCAAACAAGUAACAGUGACACUGUUAAAUGUCAAUUUACAUUCUUAGGUUUUCCACAAAAGAAAGGACAUCUUUAAGUACAUUUACUCCAAGAUUUUCCCGGGGACCUUCAAGUGGAUCAAUUUGUUCUGUGAGUUGUUUCAUCUCAUCAUCAGUCACAGUGAACUGGUUUGGAGGUACGGUAACUCGUUCAAGCCAAUGCACAUGAGAUACCGCUCCAGAUACAGAAUGACUGUCACCACCAACAAGCUCUGCUGAAUUAGUCUCUCCUCCAGUGGAGUCUGAGGGUCUUGCAAAUAUCUCCUGCAUUGCAGUACUUGGCAGACUCUGUUGUGCCAGGCAAUCCCGGACAAAGAUUUGUAGAGGUGACUGGUGUCUCUCGGUUCGUAAACCAUGAUUGUUCCACUGGUGUUUAAAAUUUGUCAAGUCUUUGUUAAUUCUUGGGAUGUAGACAUAUUGCAGAGCCCACAUGUGCAUUUCAUUAUCUACAUCCACAAUGCCCUCACUCUCAAGAAAGUGGAAAAGGUCAUAGUACACAUUUGACACCCCACGCCACAGAUCGACCCAAAGUCUUUCAAUCCUCUGAUUGUGUGUACUUCUUCCUCUAAGAGCACUCCCUCGUUCAGUGCCUCUGAACAGGUUCAUGAACAAGCACACUGCAUUGUUCUCUCCCCCAUGGUCAGUCCUUACUCUGGAAAAUGG